rnacentral:misc_RNA from 1 species
CCUUCUUCUUUUCUUGUUGUGUUCUGCUCUGCAUCUCUCUUGCCUUCCAUCACACCUCUCCUUCUUCACCCCCCCCGUCCUCCCUUCACGCCUUGUGGGCUUUCUUCGUGUUCUUUUCUGUUUCGUGGUGGUGGUGCUCGCGGUUCGCGUGUGUACGCGUGUUUGUGUGUGUGUGUGUGUGUGUGUGAGAAGGUGGUCGUCUGUUUCGUUUGCCUCCUCCCUCCCCCCCCCCGCCCACGACGUCAUCUCGCCCUACCUCCCCCUCCCCUCCCGUCUCUCUCCGUGGGCGUAUACUGUUUUUGUUUUUUUGUUCACCCAUUGGCAUCUUAAGCUGCCCUCCUCCAGCAUCCCUCUUUUUCUUUUUUGGUUGUUUUUCACUGAAGCGAGUUUGGUCCGCUGUGCCGACGCUGAUCGCGGUGUUGUGUGCGAACGCCCUUCAUCUGCUCCUCUUCCAUCUGUCGUUGCUCUGCUGCUUCGCCGCCCUUCUUUCCUUCGACUUUUGAUUCGCUUACCGCACACAG